rnacentral:lncRNA from 1 species
AAAUGGCUUCUCAGAUAUCCUUGACGAUUUCAUUAUGUACAUUUCAAUUUGUAAGCAUUAAUUGUUGCGCCUAUCUAUUCAUCGGUCAAAAUCGGCCCAGGAACGAAGUGCUGUCCUAUGACGCUAAUCAUUUGUGGAGACGCUCUAAAUCAUUAGAUCAAUUUGACCCGUUGAGCAUACUGGCAAGCAAAGAGAAGCAUGAGUAUAAUCAGUAGAGAAUAGGAACAAACGUCGAUUCGUAUUGCCCGUUUACAAUUCAAGUCAACGUUCGAAAAAUCGUCCGCGUGCGACUACGAGAGAGACGAAAAGACUCACUCGCGGACCAGUUUCCAGCAAAUGGGUUAAUCGAACCACAUUCUCGGUUGACGAAACUGGAACGUAAACAGUUGGUUAUACCACUGCACAGCCCCACUACAAUAUCACGGUUGUUUCCGGUGCCAAGAAGUAAAAUAGAUGAAAGAGCGAUACUUCCUCAAGCUAAACAAUACUCCGACGCAAUGGAUACGACCCAAGAGUAAGGUGAUUUCAGGUAUCCUCAAUUGACUCCCGUUGACGUCAGCUCCGUGCAACGGGCGAAGUAUUCCAUAAGACCUCUUCGUUUAAUCCAUCUGUUUGGAAGUUUGCUCUUGGAUCAGGUUAAUAGUGUACCGGUACUCCGUCCUGUCAGGAACCGUUUUCGCCAGCGUCUUCCUGGAUACAGAAUGAAAGAGACUUAUGCAGUAAAUUCAACUAAUUGAUAUUACCAUAGUCACCGUACAGUCAUACUAUAGUGGUUCAA